GAUGAACGCUAGCGGCAGGCUUAACACAUGCAAGUCGAGGGGUAGAAGUUGCUUGCAACUUUGAGACCGGCGCACGGGUGCGUAACGCGUAUGCAAUCUACCUUAUACAGAGGGAUAGCCCAGAGAAAUUUGGAUUAAUACCUCAUAGUAUAAUUGAAUGGCAUCAUUUAAUUAUUAAAGUUCCAACGGUAUAAGAUGAGCAUGCGUCCUAUUAGCUAGAUGGUAAGGUAACGGCUUACCAUGGCAACGAUAGGUAGGGGUCCUGAGAGGGAGAUCCCCCACACUGGUACUGAGACACGGACCAGACUCCUACGGGAGGCAGCAGUGAGGAAUAUUGGACAAUGGGCGCAAGCCUGAUCCAGCCAUGCCGCGUGCAGGAAGAAGCAUCUAUGGUGUGUAAACUGCUUUUGUACGGGAAGAAACACUCCUUCGUGAAGGAGCUUGACGGUACCGUCAGAAUAAGGAUCGGCUAACUCCGUGCCAGCCGCCGCCGUAACAC
rnacentral:rRNA from 1 species